rnacentral:tRNA from 1 species
AGGGAAAUAGCUCAGUGGUAGAGCACAUGCUUAGCAUUCACGAGGCCCUGGGUUCAAUCCCUAGUACCUCUA